GGCCCUAGUUGGGAAAGCUGGCACCAGUCCCAAAGCUAUCCUAGCUCUCUCCUGAGGCUGCUGUGGGUGACCUACUGGUUGGGCUGACAGCCAGGAUAAGUGACAGGGAACACCACCAGGUGAUGGCCAGAGAAGCUUGGACUUGCUCCUGCUUCCCAGACCUGCUGCUCCAUCUGCUCCAGCAGUUUCCAAGCACUGCCAGUGCCACGUUGGUUUUCACAGCUGCCUUGGUGCACGGCCAUAUCAGAAAGAACCUGCCUCACAAGCACUUCACAGGAACAAGGGCAAGAGUUGAGUUCAUACCUUGCAUCGAGGGAAUCGCCAGAAAGAAAAGGAGUGAUUCCAGGAAGGAGCUGCUCAGGGUGGAAUCUGCAGCAAAAACCUUCUUCAGCGUCAAACUUACCAUGUAAGAGAAGAAGACAACCUGAUCCAAGGCUCACUUCUGAGCAAGGAACAAACUGAGCAAUGAGACUUGGUCGGGGGUAGGUUUUCUUAAUAUUGUUUUGUGCUCAGUACUUGGAAACCUUGCUUUUAGCUUCCUUGAAGUUACCUGGAGUUUAGAUGUACUCAGAAUCAUGCAAAAGUAGGUUCUAAUUAACUGAUCCAAAGGCAGGACAUCGAAUGACUGGGAUGGGCUUUGUGUUCCCACUGACUGAGGGAUAAAUACUGUGAUUGCACAUGCACAUUCCUACCCUGCCCUCAACCUGUGAUGAUAAGCUCCACGUGAUCCCAAGCUUUAAUGCCAAUGAAAAGCACUAAAGCUGACAGCGGCAUAUGGCCACUCCCAGAUCUUCAGUCUACUUCAUGACUGGCUGGGGAUUUCUCUUUAGGCAAAAAAUAAUGGCAGCUAUGAUUGUUGUGGAAAGAAGAAGCUGGUAAAAUAAAUAAAGGGAGAGAAAAAAUGGGGCUU